CCUACGGGAGGCAGCAGUGGGGAAUAUUGGGCAAUGGGCGCAAGCCUGACCCAGCAACGCCGCGUGCAGGAAGAAGGCCCUCGGGUUGUAAACUUCUUUUGUCAGGGACGAAGAAAGUGACGGUACCUGCCGAAUAAGCCACGGCUAACUACGUGCCAGCAGCCGCGGUAAUACGUAGGUGGCAAGCGUUAUCCGGAUUUACUGGGUGUAAAGGGCGUGUAGGCGGGACUGCAAGUCAGAUGUGAAAUUCCAGGGCUCAACCCUGGAACUGCAUUUGAAACUGUAGUUCUUGAGUGAAGGAGCGGCAGGCGGAAUGCCGUGUGUAGCGGUGAAAUGCGUAGAGAUACGGAGGAACACCAGUGGCGAAGGCGGCCUGCUGGACAUUAUCUGACGCUGAGGCGCGAAAGCGUGGGGAGCAAACAGGAUUAGAUACCCCAGUAGUC
rnacentral:rRNA from 1 species